CUGCUCUGCCCAGGGCUGUCGAGUCGGGGAUAGGCGGAAUAGCAAUAGGAGCGUACGGUUAGCGUGCCGAUACGGCCCGUCCGGAAUUGUUUGGCUCUCACUCGGCAUCUGGGUGACUUGUUUGAUAACUCGGUGUGAUUUUUCCAGAUGCGGACUGGCUAGAUGCCCACCGACGAGCGGCAGAGGAGGAGAGCAGAGCGCCGUAAGAAGGUGGCGGUCAGGCCUCGGCACGGCAGGCCGAAGAAUCCGACUCCGAGCGGCCGAGGAAAAGGGACGGGCGAGAGGAAGGCGUUUCCAAGGAGGGCUUCGUCGCAGCGGAGGUCGACGCCGGGCGGCACGUCGGCGACCGGCGACGCUCUGUCUCGUGAGGGAUGAAGCGGAACCCGGCGGAUGGGGGAGCGUCCCGGUUAGAUGACCUUUUCCCCAUGAGAAGGGAAUCUGGAUUCUGCCCUCUGAAAGGCAGGGAAUCAGAGUAGCUAUCCAGGUGUCCGCAAGCUGCAUCUGUUUGGCCGGGGGGUUGAAGCGGAGGAUCCAGAUUCCAUUGUAGUAGAGAGCUCUGGAACGAGAAGAAUGUUAAGCGAAGCAGGAGAGAUGGACUGUCAAUGUGCCCGAGCUAAUAACUGUCAUUGCUCUGAGUCCUUGCUGUGGUGAUAGUGCAUCACUGGAAACCUAUGUAUUAAUGCCUAAUGUUGUUGUUCUUUAAAGAAAGUAACAAUACAGGUGAAGUAAGAAAGAAUGAUUUUU